UACGUAGGGGGCGAGCGUUGUCCGGAUUUAUUGGGCGUAAAGAGCUCGUAGGUGGUUCGGUAAGUCGGAUGUGAAAUCUCCAGGCUCAACCUGGAGGGGUCAUUCGAUACUGCCGUGACUAGAGUUCGGUAGAGGAGUGUGGAAUUCCUGGUGGAGCGGUGAAAUGCGCAGAGAUCAGGAGGAACACCCGUAGCGAAGGCGGCACUCUGGGCCGAUACUGACACUGAGGAGCGAAAGCGUGGGGAGCGAACAGG
rnacentral:rRNA from 1 species